CGGGCGGCCGUGUCGUCAGAUGGAGGUUUCUGAAAGUUCAAGGGAGCCAUGGUUACAAACACCUCCUGUACGGUCAGGCCCUUGGGCGCAGUGCGGGGACACUGGGCGGGAAGAGAAGAACCCCAGACUCCUGUUGGAACCAGGCAAGAGCCAAGCGCGUCCAUCCAAUGCUCAAUCGGAAAAAGGAAUCCCGUAGAAGCGACCACUGUGGUGAUGACAGCGUGAGUGGUUCCUCUUUUGAAGUCUUAACGCUCCCAGAGCUGUGGGAGCAACAGUCAGCCGUGAGGAACUGGGUGUUUUCUCUCCGGGACAAAGGAGAAGGGCCGUGACAGCGAAGAAGCAUUGGCCUUAGGAGCUGAGCAGGGCGACCCUAAGAGGUUGAGGAAUGGAAGGCGUUUCAAGGUGGGCCGUGGGUCACAGUGACCUGGAACCGUGACUUCAGCUGUAGGCAACUGCCUCUCCAGAAGAAGUGGGGGCACUGUGUUAUCGUCUGAGAACCGUGGUGUCCUGUCUAAGCAGACAGGCCGUGUCCACUCGGCAGCCUGCAGUGGGCACGCUCUACCGGGGCACCAGGGCCUUGUCCACCCGUCACCUCCUGCAUGAAAUGGUUCCUGUCCAGCUUGAAACCGAUGUGUGAGCCCCCUGCUCCCACAAUUCUGAACUCCCAAGUCACAUAGCCACUGUCUUUCCUUUUUGACCCCAUAACAGUGAUUUUUGUGGACAGUUCCCUCGUCCUCUGCAAUGGAAAGCCAGCAAAUGAGGAGUAAUUAUGUGUAAGCCAGGUUCUAGGCACACAGAUGGAGAAAGGGAGAGAGAGAGAAGGAAAAAGACAAGGAGAGAGAAAUCUUCCUUUAGGGUCUUAAAAAAUAUUUGGAUUCUUUCCCCUAAAUGCCACUAAAACUCUUCCCACCUGGGUCACAAACGAUCUCCUAACCAUCAGUUCCAGCAAACACUGCCUACCGCCUUCAAUGAUCUGGAAGAAUCAACCUUGUAUUUGGAGAUCUUCUCUAGUGCUCCCAGGAUACCACUCUGCCUUGGCUCCCCUGUCCCCUCUCACCUACAUCUUGGGGUCCACUGUUCUUUACCUCUGUCUCAUGAAUGAGGCUGCUGUUUCUCAGAGUUCCACUUUUUUGGUCUUCUUCUCACUCCUCCAUUUUUUUUUUUUCCCUCAGCAAUUUCAUCUUAUUCCAGAGCAUGUAAUCCUACAUUUUAUUAGGCUUCUCAGGUAUGCUGAUUCCCAAGCUGUUUUGAGAAUCUCUGGACUUCCUAAUCCCUCUGGUUCUUAGCUUCCCCAUCUAUAACAUAGGGACAGUCAUGGUACUUGCCUCACUGGACUGUCAUCAGCAUGAAGUGGGUUCAUAUAUGUAAAGCACUUAAGCGGUGCCAUGCUCAUAGUCAGGUGUUGGAGAGUCCCUUGGACUGCAAGGAGAUCCAAUCAGUCCAUCCUAAAGGAGAUCAGUCCUGUGUGUUCAUUGGAAGGACUGAUAUUGAAGCUGAAACUCCAAUCCUUUGGCCACCUGAUGCAAAGAGCUGACUCAUUUGAAAAGACCCUGAUGCUGGGAAAGAUUGAAGGCAGGAGGAGAAGGGGAUAACAGAAGAUGAGAUGGUCGGAUGGCAUCACCGACUCAAUGGACAUGAGUUUUGGUGAACUCCGGGAGUUGGUGAUGGACAGGGAGGCCUUGCAUGCUGCAGUCCAUGGGGUCUCAAAGAAUCGGACACGACUGAGCGACUGAACUGAACUGAACAUGUCAGUUGUUUAGUUCAGGACCCAAAAGAGAUCGGCAGAAAACAAAAGCCUCAGGAAUAUGUCCUUUUAGGACUUAGAGGAGGAAUAGAAAUCAAUGCAAGCAGAAGAAACAAUAGGAGAGAUAGAUAGUAGGGAAAUAUGGGGAAGUUCUCUAUCAUGGAAAAGAGGAGACCAGAGAGACCAGGGGCUGCGGACGAGCUGAAACAAAUGCGGUCUCAGGAAAAACUGUUGACUUUGAGGAUUAAGAAGCCAUCGGAGGGCAUGUUUAUAGAAGGACGGUUAGAAAAACCAGAUUCCUUCUUUAAAGCUCGGGGCCCAAGAAUAUAUGAAGUUCAUUUAUACAGCAUCCAGCAAAACUUCUGGUGCAUUACAGGCUAUAAAUAAAUGCACUUUGAUGCAUUUUAUAAAUUGAAAGUACUUUGGGGAUUACUUGACUGUGUCUAAAGAAAUUGGGUCAUUUACUGAUCUUCAAAACUGUGUGGAGGAUGGAGCUACUUAAUCUACAAUGAGAGGAAGAGGAUAUUGG
ensembl:lncRNA